rnacentral:rRNA from 1 species
UUUAUGGAGAGUUUGAUCCUGGCUCAGGAUAAACGCUGGCGGCGUGCCUAAUACAUGCAAGUCGAGCGAACGGACGAGAAGCUUGCUUCUCUGAUGUUAGCGGCGGACGGGUGAGUAACACGUGGAUAACCUACCUAUAAGACUGGGAUAACUUCGGGAAACCGGAGCUAAUACCGGAUAAUAUUUUGAACCGCAUGGUUCAAAAGUGAAAGACGGUCUUGCUGUCACUUAUAGAUGGAUCCGCGCUGCAUUAGCUAGUUGGUAAGGUAACGGCUUACCAAGGCAACGAUGCAUAGCCGACCUGAGAGGGUGAUCGGCCACACUGGAACUGAGACACGGUCCAGACUCCUACGGGAGGCAGCAGUAGGGAAUCUUCCGCAAUGGGCGAAAGCCUGACGGAGCAACGCCGCGUGAGUGAUGAAGGUCUUCGGAUCGUAAAACUCUGUUAUUAGGGAAGAACAUAUGUGUAAGUAACUGUGCACAUCUUGACGGUACCUAAUCAGAAAGCCACGGCUAACUACGUGCCAGCAGCCGCGGUAAUACGUAGGUGGCAAGCGUUAUCCGGAAUUAUUGGGCGUAAAGCGCGCGUAGGCGGUUUUUUAAGUCUGAUGUGAAAGCCCACGGCUCAACCGUGGAGGGUCAUUGGAAACUGGAAAACUUGAGUGCAGAAGAGGAAAGUGGAAUUCCAUGUGUAGCGGUGAAAUGCGCAGAGAUAUGGAGGAACACCAGUGGCGAAGGCGACUUUCUGGUCUGUAACUGACGCUGAUGUGCGAAAGCGUGGGGAUCAAACAGGAUUAGAUACCCUGGUAGUCCACGCCGUAAACGAUGAGUGCUAAGUGUUAGGGGGUUUCCGCCCCUUAGUGCUGCAGCUAACGCAUUAAGCACUCCGCCUGGGGAGUACGACCGCAAGGUUGAAACUCAAAGGAAUUGACGGGGACCCGCACAAGCGGUGGAGCAUGUGGUUUAAUUCGAAGCAACGCGAAGAACCUUACCAAAUCUUGACAUCCUUUGACAACUCUAGAGAUAGAGCUUUCCCCUUCGGGGGACAAAGUGACAGGUGGUGCAUGGUUGUCGUCAGCUCGUGUCGUGAGAUGUUGGGUUAAGUCCCGCAACGAGCGCAACCCUUAAGCUUAGUUGCCAUCAUUAAGUUGGGCACUCUAAGUUGACUGCCGGUGACAAACCGGAGGAAGGUGGGGAUGACGUCAAAUCAUCAUGCCCCUUAUGAUUUGGGCUACACACGUGCUACAAUGGACAAUACAAAGGGCAGCGAAACCGCGAGGUCAAGCAAAUCCCAUAAAGUUGUUCUCAGUUCGGAUUGUAGUCUGCAACUCGACUACAUGAAGCUGGAAUCGCUAGUAAUCGUAGAUCAGCAUGCUACGGUGAAUACGUUCCCGGGUCUUGUACACACCGCCCGUCACACCACGAGAGUUUGUAACACCCGAAGCCGGUGGAGUAACCUUUUAGGAGCUAGCCGUCGAAGGUGGGACAAAUGAUUGGGGUGAAGUCGUAACAAGGUAGCCGUAUCGGAAGGUGCGGCUGGAUCACCUCCUUU